AGACCCGAAACCCGGUGAUCUAGCCAUGGGCAGGUUGAAGGUUGGGUAACACUAACUGGAGGACCGAACCGACUAAUGUUGAAAAAUUAGCGGAUGACCUGUGGCUGGGGGUGAAAGGCCAAUCAAACCGGGAGAUAGCUGGUUCUCCCCGAAAGCUAUUUAGGUAGCGCCUCGUGAAUUCAUCUCCGGGGGUAGAGCACUGUUUCGGCUAGGGGGCCAUCCCGGCUUACCAACCCGAUGCAAACUGCGAAUACCGGAGAAUGUUAUCACGGGAGACACACGGCGGGUGCUAACGUCCGUCGUGAAGAGGGAAACAACCCAGACCGCCAGCUAAGGUCCCAAAGUCAUGGUUAAGUGGGAAACGAUGUGGGAAGGCCCAGACAGCCAGGAUGUUGGCUUAGAAGCAGCCAUCAUUUAAAGAAAGCGUAAUAGCUCACUGGUCGAGUCGGCCUGCGCGGAAGAUGUAACGGGGCUAAACCAUGCACCGAAGCUGCGGCAGCGAACGUAUCACCCAAGACAACUUUACGGAGUUGACGAUUGACGGAGCGAAGCGACGUCAAAGCGUUCAUUAAAGUCGAGUUGGCUUAGGGAUACGUUCGUUGGGUAGGGGAGCGUUCUGUAAGCCUGUGAAGGUGGCCUGUGAGGGUUGCUGGAGGUAUCAGAAGUGCGAAUGCUGACAUAAGUAACGAUAAAGCGGGUGAAAAGCCCGCUCGCCGGAAGACCAAGGGUUCCUGUCCAACGUUAAUCGGGGCAGGGUGAGUCGACCCCUAAGGCGAGGCCGAAAGGCGUAGUCGAUGGGAAACGGGUUAAUAUUCCCGUACUUGGUGUUACUGCGAAGGGGGGACGGAGAAGGCUAUGUUGGCCGGGCGACGGUUGUCCCGGUUUAAGCGUGUAGGUGUGUGUUCCAGGUAAAUCCGGUUCACUUUAACACUGAGGCGUGACGACGAGGCACUACGGUGCUGAAGCAACAAAUGCCCUGCUUCCAGGAAAAGCCUCUAAGCAUCAGGUAACAUCAAAUCGUACCCCAAACCGACACAGGUGGUCAGGUAGAGAAUACCAAGGCGCUUGAGAGAACUCGGGUGAAGGAACUAGGCAAAAUGGUGCCGUAACUUCGGGAGAAGGCACGCUGACACGUAGGUGAAGUGAUUUACUCAUGGAGCUGAAGUCAGUCGAAGAUACCAGCUGGCUGCAACUGUUUAUUAAAAACACAGCACUGUGCAAACACGAAAGUGGACGUAUACGGUGUGACGCCUGCCCGGUGCCGGAAGGUUAAUUGAUGGGGUCAGCGCAAGCGAAGCUCCUGAUCGAAGCCCCGGUAAACGGCGGCCGUAACUAUAACGGUCCUAAGGUAGCGAAAUUCCUUGUCGGGUAAGUUCCGACCUGCACGAAUGGCGUAAUGAUGGCCAGGCUGUCUCCACCCGAGACUCAGUGAAAUUGAACUCGCUGUGAAGAUGCAGUGUACCCGCGGCAAGACGGAAAGACCCCGUGAACCUUUACUAUAGCUUGACACUGAACAUUGAGCCUUGAUGUGUAG
rnacentral:rRNA from 1 species